GGGAACCGGACAGUACGUAGGUCUCCUCCACUGCUGGCAGUGUAGCGUCUCUCAAACGCGGUUAAAGACUUUUUCAAGUAAAGAAGAGCAUCUCAUCUGAACCUGAUGUCUUUCAUGGAUAUUUAACUGCAGUUCUGUGAGUAUCCAAACCUAACCAUGGAGAACUGCAAACUGUAAGUCAUUAAUUUCUCAUUACUCUUGGGCACAUUGAUGUAUUUUGGCUUCCUGGUGAGUUACCCCGUUACCUGAAGGUUUAUCUGAAAGGAUGUUUUAUUGGUUCAUGGGUUACUUAGGUGUUUGGUUUAUGUUGGUUUUAAUGAUUUGUUAAAAUGGUUACAGGCUCUAUUGUUGUAAGCUGGAGUAAUGGGUUGGGUUCUGAUAUCUUCAGUCUUCUUUCCAGCUACUCUCCUGAGCUCCGCAUCUUCAUCACAUGAGUCUUGCUUUACUGAUGAGGUUGUGGUCUGAGUGAGCAGAGGUGCAUACUGGGAUACAGAGCUGUCUCAAGUCUACAGGUCUGCAGACACGCCCCCUCAGGGCAAACCAAGUGUUUGAGAAACUGUCGUGACGUCAGUUACAUGGACUGGAAUGUUCUUAAAGAUGGAGACAGGGAUUCAGAAGGAGAAACACCAGGGGGAGAUGAGGGGGCUCCUCAUCUCAACGACUAAAACACAACUUCAGUCUGACACAGAGAUCCAUGGAACACAUUCAACAGUCCCCUCCAGGCAUCGUGACUCCCCAGGAACAGUUUCAUUUCCAAGAAGGUCUUAUUUGGGGCCAUCCCCAGAUAGUUCCUGCUCCUCAAGAGCCACCCCCCUCCACUGGGUGGUCUUCUGAACAGAUGACCUCCUUCCUGUCCUCAGGCUGACUAAAGCUGGACCGUUUGCAUCUGUGAAGGCCCCUCACUCAGGAAACCAUUGGACUACAAAGACAUGAGUUCAAAGACGUUGAAUAAACCUGGGAUUUGUCAAGCAUAAUCCAUCACCAAUGUGGGACGCCACUGAAGAAUGUUGUACAUAAUUUACGUCUCUGGAGACAUUGGUUGUUCUGUUCUUGGUGCCCUGGCAAGAGAGCUGGGGGUGGAGGAUGGAACGUUAUUUGGCAUGAGGUUUUUACCCUGCAUGAUUGUUUGGCCUUUAAUGGCUCUGUGUGUGUGUGUGUGUGUGUGUGUGUGUGUGUGUGUGAUGAUUUUUAAUCAUCGCUAGGGUUCUACUGUGUGUCUCCCACACACCUGGCAUGGGGUUCUACGUGUGUUUGGUUCCACCUGGCAUGGGGUUCUAUGUGCGUGUCCUUGGUUCUGUGUGUGUGUCUGGCUUGCUUCGACGGUGAUAAUGUUCAUACGGGGGUCUGUGUGAUUGACUUGGGAUAUUGGCAUGGUCAAAUAAAUCAUACCUGAUGGACGGCCACACGUUUACUUAAGGGCCUCCAGUAGACAUGAAGAGCCCUGAGCGACGCUCCAGAGCGAUAUCCAACACACUGGGCAGGAAGGAGAGUACCCAACUCAAGUCUAAAAGGAUGCAAGCGGCGUGUUCAGAUCAGUGACUUCAAACUAGGCCUACACCAAUCAGGAUCAAUGGAGGAUGGACACCAAAAGGAAUUCCACAAGGAGAGUCUGACGUUGGAAAGGGAUCUAAAUGGAUAUUCAAGAUGACCUUCAGACCUGUAAUGAGACGGCUCUUCCUACCUGGCUGGAUUGAUGGAGAGCCCUGUGGAUCUUGUCUUGCUCUCAGUUGCACGUCUUCUCAGGCUGUACUGUAUUUGUUUCGGACAGGACUAGCUGAACGAUUGGUUCCCUUAAAUCAGAACCAAUCCGGGAACUCCAGCUAGUGCGCUCUUCGAGCUCAAGUUGUGCUCUUCAGCUGAGGAGGUAAGGAAACCUUCACUGGGGCUUCAAGGUGUACAGAGGAGAAUGUUUCAAAGUGUUCCAUGGUACUCUUAUGAAGACCGUUGUUGUGUUCCACUGGCUGAGAGGAAGAACCCUCACAUCUUCCUCUUGGCCUUUCUCCUCUGAGAAUCCUGGCGCCAUCUAGAAGGAUAUUCCAGCUCAUGUAACUGAUGUCACAACAGAUUCUCAAACACUUGGUUUCUCCUGAGGGGCGUGUCUAAAGAACUGAAGACUUCAGACAGCACUGUAUCCCAGCAUGCAUCUCUGCUCACUCAGACCACACCCCCAUGAGUAGGAUGCAACACUCUAGUGAUGGAGAUGUAGAGUUUUAUAAGUAACGAGGGAGCAGACAAAGGUUAUUAGAACACAAUGGCAUGUCAAGUCUGUAAAUCUUUAAACCAUGAAGAUGGUUGGAUAGUUCAGGAAUUGGGCUUCUUUUUAUUAUGGGUCGGUUUCCAUAGGGAAUUGUUGCCCCCUAUCUUAAACAACUUAAGUUUGAUAUUAAAUACAUACUGACACGUACGUCGUACAAUAUGUUGAUAAUUUCCAAUGGUUGCACCGUACUUUUAACCACGUUGACGUGACUGGACUCUCGCUGCGUACAAAACGGCGUUCUACUUGCGGCCCCAUUUUUGACAUCAGUGAAGGCUGAAAAUCAUUUCAAGGUGGAAGACAAUUUGACAUUUCUUCAACGGAACCCAGCACCUGAAUAUGGCUGAGUAAAUUUGAUUUAAUAUCGAUACUGAUUAGUGUUUUUUGUUACUUCAGCUUUUGUACGUCCUAAAUAUCUGCUGUCAUUAAUUGCCACAGAAGUUAAACCCUACCCAAUGGAAUGACGUUAAACAACGACUUUGUUGCAGAGUUACCAACUGGAUAAUAUCAAAGCUAAAAUAAUGGCCGUCCUUCCCACAUGUUACAGUAGAAGAUACUCUAGAUCUGUACAAGGUUGAGAAGGUAACAUGUAGUUUGUCCCAAGGUGUCUGCCUCCUCACAAAGAGCAAGACCUCCACCUCCUCAACCAGAGCCAGACCGCCACCUCCUGUCAGAAGUCCUCCAGAACAGCUGAAAGGUGAGGCUGAGAGUCUGGGGACCGGAGACUUGUGGUGCCAGGAUGGACCGGAGACUGAGGCUGGAGACCAGGGGCCUGCAGCACCGGAACAGAGGACCAGGAAUCCAUGGCUGAAGGAGCUGAUGGAGGAGCCGUGCUGAAGGAACUGGCUGGUGGAGUCCCUGCCUGGUGAAGGACGUCUGUCGUGGGGUAGAUGGAGCUUGCCUCUGAAACCAGGACUUUGUCUGAGGAGAGCUGAUGGAGGAGCUGAGACGCUGGAGGACGACUAGGAAUUGACCAACAAGGAUUCCUCAACGUGUUUCUGGAGCGGAGGCGAGAUGGUAGGGGAGCCGUGAAUCUGGAGGAUGACCAUCACUCUACCAUCAAGGAUUACGUUGGGGCCAGACUCGCACUGUUUGUUCCAGACCAGGACGGCUGAGGAGCCAAGAAUCUGGAGGACGACAACACUCUACCAACCAGGAUCCACAGACAAAUUACGUUUGUAACCAGACCAGGAAUCUGGAGGACUGAUGGAGAAGCUGUACAUCUGGAGGACAACCAGGACUUUACCAUCAAGGAUUCCUCACACACUUGAGCUGAACCUCACCUGAUCCUGUUUGGUCAGGGGCAGACACACCUGAGCUGAACCCGCCCUGAUCCUGACAUCCUGCUGGUCCCGUCUCCUCAGUUCAUCUGAGCCUCGUCCUCCAGAAGACCUGCUGAGCUCAGCCGUCUGAGGCUGAUGGAUCAAUGACCUCCAGUGGGAGUGAUCUUCUUGACCCCACAUGUAACCGUGUGCUUCCACACGCCUUUCCCUCACAUCUGUCACUAACCUCACUACUUCACUACUGCUUCUUCUUCCUUCUCUGUGGUUCAAACCUUUACACUGAAGGCGCGUCUUCCUGCCCUCAGAGGGUUUACCGUUAGGGUUGAGAGUCAGGGUUUAGAGUCAGGGACAGAGCUGUUCAGGGAGGACUGCUUUUACACAAACCUCUUCACUUGCUUUCGGAAUGGUGGUGACAUUUUGAAAAGAUUCAUUUGGGAAAAUGUUUUCCUCUGCUUUCCUUUACAAAAUUGUAUUCAACUUCUGUCAAGUGUUUUUGUUUAUAUAUUAAAAUCCC